GAAAUGAGUAAAAAAAAAAAGGCCGAAUAAGUGGGAAAAUCUUGUAAAAAAUGGCUAAAGUUAGACAAUCUAUAUAUAGAGAUUAUUAGGGGUAAUUUCGUCAAAAAAAAAAUCAACAGGUCUUUAUAACGGUUGGUCAAAGGAUUUGACUAACGGAUUCAAGAAAAAAGUUAACGGCAGGGGGGUAUUUGAUGUUUUUCAUACAUCAGGGAGGUAAACGAUAC
rnacentral:lncRNA from 1 species